GAUGAACGCUGGCGGCGUGCCUAAUACAUGCAAGUCGAGCGAACAGACGAGGAGCUUGCUCCUCUGACGUUAGCGGCGGACGGGUGAGUAACACGUGGAUAACCUACCUAUAAGACUGGGAUAACUUCGGGAAACCGGAGCUAAUACCGGAUAAUAUAUUGAACCGCAUGGUUCAAUAGUGAAAGACGGUUUUGCUGUCACUUAUAGAUGGAUCCGCGCCGCAUGAGCUAGUUGGUAAGGUAACGGCUCACCAAGGCAACGAUGCGUAGCCGACCUGAGAGGAUGAUCAGCCACACUGGAACUGAGACACGGUCCAGACUCCUACGGGAGGCAGCAGUGGGGAAUCUUGGACAAUGGGCGAAAGCCUGACGCAGCCAUGCCGCGUGGGUGAAGAAGGUCUUCGGAUUGUAAAGCUCUUUUAUUGGGGAAGAAAAGCAGUAAGUUAAUACCUGGCUGUUUUGACGGUACCAAAAGAAAAAGCCCCGGCUAACUUCGUG
rnacentral:rRNA from 1 species